rnacentral:rRNA from 1 species
GACGAACGCUGGCGGCGUGCUUAACACAUGCAAGUCGAACGGAAAGGCCCUGCUUUUGUGGGGUGCUCGAGUGGCGAACGGGUGAGUAACACGUGAGUAACCUGCCCUUGACUUUGGGAUAACUUCAGGAAACUGGGGCUAAUACCGGAUAGGAGCUCCUGCUGCAUGGUGGGGGUUGGAAAGUUUCGGCGGUUGGGGAUGGACUCGCGGCUUAUCAGCUUGUUGGUGGGGUAGUGGCUUACCAAGGCUUUGACGGGUAGCCGGCCUGAGAGGGUGACCGGCCACAUUGGGACUAAGAUACGGCCCAGACUCCUACGGGAGGCAGCAGUGGGGAAUAUUGCACAAUGGGCGGAAGCCUGAUGCAGCAACGCCGCGUGCGGGAUGACGGCCUUCGGGUUGUAAACCGCUUUCGCCUGUGACGAAGCGUGAGUGACGGUAAUUGGUAAAGAAGCACCGGCUAACUACGU